rnacentral:misc_RNA from 1 species
UCCAACUUAUCGCUGGCGGUCUCCUGAGAGUGCAUCCUUGCGGAUUAGCAACACAGGACAAGGGUUGCGCUCGUUGCGGGACUUAACCCAACAUCUCACGACACGAGCUGACGACAGCCAUGCAGCACCUCGACUCACGUCCCUUGCGGGAGGGCCCCUGUUUCCAAGGGCUUGCGUAAGCCGUUCGAGCCCAGGUAAGGUUCUUCGCGUUGCGUCGAAUUAAGCCACAUGCUCCGCCGCUUGUGCGGGUCCCCGUCAAUUCCUUUGAGUUUUAGCCUUGCGGCCGUACUCCCCAGGCGGCAUACUUAACGCGUUAGCUCCGGCACGGAUAAAAUGAAUUACCCACACCAAGUAUGCAUCGUUUAGGGCGUGGACUAC